UACGUAGGGUGCGAGCGUUGUCCGGAAUUAUUGGGCGUAAAGAGCUCGUAGGCGGUCUGUCGCGUCGGUCGUGAAAACUUGGGGCUUAACCCUGAGCUUGCGGUCGAUACGGGCAUGACUGGAGUUCGGCAGGGGAGACUGGAAUUCCUGGUGUAGCGGUGAAAUGCGCAGAUAUCAGGAGGAACACCGGUGGCGAAGGCGGGUCUCUGGGCCGAUACUGACGCUGAGGAGCGAAGGCGUGGGGAGCGAACAGG
rnacentral:rRNA from 1 species